rnacentral:rRNA from 1 species
AUUGAACGCUGGCGGCAGGCUUAACACAUGCAAGUCGAGCGAGCGGCGGACGGGUGAGUAAUGUCUGGGACACUGCCUGAUGGAGGGGGAUAACUACUGGAAACGGUAGCUAAUAACGCAUACCAUCAGAUGUGCCCAGGUGGGAUUAGCUAGUAGGUGGGGUAAUGGCUCACCUGGGCGACGAUCCCUAGCUGGUCUGAGAGGAUGACCGGCAAAACGGGAACUGGGCCACGGUCCAGAUGCCAAGGGAAGGAAGAGGUGGGGAAGAUUGCACAAUGGGCGCAAGCCUGAGGCAGCCAUGCCGCGUGUGUAAAGAAGGCCUUCGGGUUGAAAAGCACUUUCAGCGAGGAGGCGUUACUCGCAGAAGAAGCACCGGCUAACUCCGUGCCAGCAGCCGCGGUAAUAC